GACGAACGCUGGCGGCGUGCCUAAUACAUGCAAGUAGAACGCUGAAGGAGGAGCUUGCUUCUCUGGAUGAGUUGCGAACGGGUGAGUAACGCGUAGGUAACAUGCCUGGUAGCGGGGGAUAACUAUUGGAAACGAUAGCUAAUACAGCAUAACAGUAGAUAUCGCAUGAUAUAUACUUGAAAGGUGCAAAUUCAUCACUACCAGAUGGACCUGCGUUGUAUUAGCUAGUUGGUGAGGUAACGGCGCACCAAGGGGACGAUACAUCGACGACCUGCGAGGGGGAGCUGCCACGCUGAGACUGAGACGCGGCCCAGACUCCUGCGGGAGGCAGCCGUAGCGAACCUUCGGCAAUGGACGGAAGUCUGACCGAGCAACGCCGCGUGAGUGAAGAAGGUAUUCGGGUCGUGAAGCUCAGUUGUAAGAGAAGAACGAGUGUCAGAGUGGAAAGUUCACACUGUGACGGUAUCUGACCAGAAAGCGCCGGCUAACUACGUG
rnacentral:rRNA from 1 species